rnacentral:lncRNA from 1 species
AAGUCAAUGAAUGAGAACAACACAAAAUCAUUGUAAAUCACACAAAAAUGUGAGGUCAAGAUUAGACAUGACCUCGGCAGCCCAGUGAACCUCAUUCAUACAAAUGAAUUUUGUGUUUUGUUUUGAAUUGCAAUCAUUGUUCAGUAUGACAGCUUACAUUAGAGAAAGUAGCUAAGGGCUUUCUAAUGACCACUGGUUUAUUGGACAGGCCCUGCAUGCUGAGCUGACUUCCAGGAGUUAUGCUGUCAGCACUGUGCAAUGGGGAAUGAAUCUAUGGUGGUGUUUGCAACUCCAUGCACCACAACCAAUUCCUGUAACUUCUAGCAGGAGAUCCCAGGUUGGGGGACCAGACACAGGUGUCUCAGGACCAGCUUUCCAAGAUUUAUCUUAGCUUAAUGCCCUAAUACCUAGAGAUGAACCUAACCUCAUACCCCCAAAACAAUGUAUCUCAAGCCUUUUGAAUCCUAAGACUAGCCCUGAACUUCAUUCCCAAACCAGCAUCUAAGUCAAAAGAAACAAAAAAACCUUUUUAGGUUUUUAUCUCUUUAUUGAUAUUUCCAUACAAUAAUUUCAUGCAUUGUGUUCUUGGCCUUCUUCAAAUGUUUUUGUUCUUUAAAUAUCUUUAAGUUGGUUGUUUUAAAGUCUUUGUCUAGUAGGUCUGCCUUCAGGUCUUUUUCAGGGAUGGUUUCUGAUGAUUUAACUUUUUCCCUUUGAUUAAGUCAUACAUUUCUGUUUCUCUGCAUGCCUUGUGAUUUUUUUUGUUUGAAAAUCAGAUAUUUGAAUCUAAUAAUCUGAUAACUCUGGAAAUCAGACUCUCGCCCUUCCCCAGAGUUUGCUAUUUUUUAAUAUUAUUUUUGUUUAUUUAAACAAAGAUUGCAGACUGUCUCUGUGCCAUAGAUAUGCCUGAGGUAUAAACUUAAGGUCCUUUCAGGUCUUUUCUGAGCUUUCACCUUUCCCUUGGCAUGUGCAGUCACCUUUUAAAUUUCCCUGUUUACAAAGUUGCUUUUUAAUAUCAUGUUCUUCCAUGUUUCUGGCUCCCAAAAGGGGGAAAAGAAAAAAAAUGCAAGGGAGGAAAGAGAGAAUGUUAGUCCUUUAAAUCCCCUGGAAGUCACUUAAGUUGAAAGGAUAGGAGCUUGCAAAAAUGGGUAGAGAUGCAACAAUGGUUGUCAACUUUUUGUCUGCACCUUUGUGAUCUGAAGCACCAAUCAACUAUGGGGCACAGAACCCUGAUAUUUGGAAGAUGGUCUUUGUUUUUGUUUUUUAGUUCCACCCUUGUUCCCACAAGCUAUACAAGGGCUUCUCCUGAAACAUGUGCUCUGCUGCUAGCCAUGGGUCUGGGGUAGGGGAUGGGUCACUGCAACAAUCCUAAGAGUUGAACUUGACUGAAAUUAACAGCAAUUUACUGGUGAAAUUUUUCCUGGAAGUUGCAAGCCUUCAAUAGACCCAGAGUUCCAAAAUAGUUACAUUAGACAGAUUCUACCCAUGCAGGUGGGGAGACAUAUUCCUUGUGCUUCCUACUCUGCCAUCUUCUCCAAAUCCUUUCUAUUUAGUUUUAUUUUGAUUAAAGUCACACGAACAUAGUUGGAAGAUUACACUUGUUAUUCAGAACUUAUUAUGAAAAUUAGCACCUCUAGCUCCACAUCCUCCAUGAAAAACUAUUCCCCAGAGGCAACUAAUUUCAACAACUUUAGUUGAUUCGUUUGGUAUUUACUUCCACAUCUCUAAGUAACAUUCUUAUACUGCUGUUUAUUGACUUUUCAGUUCUAGAUAUUAUCUAUUGAUUUCCCACUAUGGAAAAUGAGGAUUUAGCUCUUUUUUUAAUCCCUGGCCUGUCCCAUCAUGUAAAUGAAUGCUUUUCAUUCUUCUGUACUCCCAAUGUAGUUAUAUCAAAAUUUAGUUAGAUCAUGAUUCUGUAUUUACAUUUUUUGUGACUUUGUAAAUGCCAGUUCCAGCUGAGACAUAAGGUAAAUUUUUAUUACUUUACCUUUUCCUACACUGUGUUUUGUUUUCUCUGGAGUUAACACUUGUUUUAUUUUCUCAUUAUAUUACCUUUUGUCAAACUCAAGUUCAAACUCUCUCAGUUGUGUAAAUCUCUUAUUGUGUUCUAACAUAUUUUGUGUUCUAUAGAUUUAAUAUUCACAUGGAACAAUAUUCCGAGUUUUCUAAUCUGUUCAAGUCAGUUCUCUUUGCCCUCUGCACUUGGCACAUAGCUGUUGUUCUUGGAAUUCCUUUCUCCAUCAUUUUGGGGAUUUCCUUCUCCUCUUCCUUGUAUUGAAUCCCUUGUUUCCUGGAUCUUCUGUUUUCCCAAAGUUUCUGAGAAAGGGUGUGUGGGAGAUGAUUUUUAAAACUCAAAUAUCCAAAAAUGUCUCUAUUCCACACUAAAGUUUGAUUGAUGGUUUGUCUUAAGUAUAAAUUUCUACAUUUAAAAUAUUUUAACAGAAGUUUUACACCACUUCACUAUAUUGUCUUAUAAACUUGACUUUGAGGAUUAUGAUGUCAUUCUGAUUCUAAAUGUUUAUAUGUGACAUAUUACUUCUUUCUUUUCAGAAUCUUGUGAGAUUUGUCUUUGAUGUUUGGUGUUCUGAACUUGGAUGAUAUGCACUGAAGAGGGUCUAUUUUAAUCUAUUGUGCACCAAACUUGAAAAGCUCUUUAAUCUAGCAUCUCAUGAGCUUCACAUCUAGGGAAUUUUUUUUUUAUUAUUUAUUUGAUUAUUCUUGCCCCUUCUCAUUGGCCAUCAUCUCCUAGUAGUUAUGCUGUUGGGCAGUUCCUACAAAAGAAAGAGAUGCCAGGUGUGACCUGCUGGAUAUUGUAGAAAUGAUAUGGAUGAUAUCCAAAGCCAUUCAUAAAAGACAUUUCAGCAUUUUCCUUGGGCUCUUGUAUCACUUGCUUAGUGAAAGCCAGAUGUCAUCUCAAGAAGACACUCAAACUAUCUUAUGAGGAGGCUCACAUGGUGAGGAACUGAAAUCUUAUACCAACAAAGACCACAGACUUGCUUAUCCUAUCAGUGACCCACCUUAGAAGCAGAUUCUUCAGUUACAUUCUUCUUAAGUCAGACCUUAAGAAAACUAAAGCCCUGGCCAAUUAUCCUGCUGAACCUCACAAGAAAUCCAGAGUCAGAACCAUUCAGCUCCUGAACUCAUGGCCACAUGAACUAGGCAGUCCUCUUUCAUGGGACAGCAUUUGAAAAAUCGCAGUAUAAGACACCUAUUGUUUUGCUUGUUCAGCAUUUCUUCUUCUGUUGAAAGAAUAUCUCUUCUUCUCUGGGGGAUCAUCCGUGCAGGUUGGAGGGCUCUCCCUCUUCCCUGAGCCCAGCUUAAAAGAGGAGUCAGACCUCAUCAAUGAGACGCAUACCAGGACUUUGCUAGAGUUAUUGCACAGUGUGUGAUUACUCAACCCACAGAAGGUGAAAGCUUGGAGCUGCUGGUAUCCAUGCCAAACUGUGUGGAGAGAGCUUGCUUGAAAAUGAAGUCAGCAGAACAAAACAGACCCAGCAGAAAGGCUGUGUCCUGCUGAGUGGCUAGAGGUGUGGAAUCUAGCCAUUGCUAAUGUUAUACUACCCUGAGAACCUUCCAGUUACCUGAACCAAUAGAUUUCUUUUUGUUUAAAAACAAAAAUAGAGGAGUUCCUGCUGUGGCACAGUGGGUUAAGAAUCUGAUUGCAGCAGCUCAGGUUUCACUGGAGGUGCAGGUUUAACCUCAGGCCUGGGGCAGUGGGUUAAAGGAUCCUCCUGACCUGGGAACUUCCUUAUGUCAUGGGGGUGGCCAUAAAGAAAAAAAAAAAAAUCUCUGCAUUUGCACUGCUGUAUAUGAUUCUUUCCUGCCUCAUUUUUAAACUGUUUUUUUUUUAUCAUAAGUGAAUAUUUAUUUUUAAGAAACAUUUUUCUGCAUCUAUUGAAAUUAUUAUAUGAGUUUGGCUUGUAAUUAUUAAUAUGAUGAAUUAUAUUGAUUGAUUUUUGGGUUAGUUUUCAACCAUGGGGAAUUUUACAGGGGACAUUUAGCAAUGUCUGGAGAUAUUUUUGCUUAUCAGAAAUAAGGGUGAUGUUGCUGCUAGUAUUUAGUGACUACAGGCCAAUGAUGCUGCUAAACAUUCUGCAAUGAACAGGUUAGUUCCCCAGAGCAAAAAAUUAACCAGCCCCAAAUGGAAAUAUUGUACAGGUUGAGAAACUCUUUAUUAAAUCAAUCUCAUAUUACUGGUAUAACCCAAAUUGUUUAUAUAUAUUUAUUUAACAUUAUAUAUAUAUAUAUAUGUUUGUGUAUGUGUGUAUGUAUAUGUAUGUAUAUAGCUAGAUCCAGUUGGCUUUUAUUUCGGGCAGGACUUUUGCAUCUGUAUUUCUUGAGUGAGGUGGGCCUGUAAUUUUCUCUUUCCAACUACGUUUAUUUUAUUUUGAUAUCAAGAUUUUGUUAGUCUCACAAAAUAAGAUGGGGAGUAUACAUUCUUCUUGUUUUUUGGAAGUCUGUAUUUAAGAUUGCAAUUAUUUAUUCUUUAGAUGUUAGGUAGGAUUCAUAAGAGACAUCCAUAGUUUGGAGUCUCCUCUGUGAAAAAAUUUUAAUCUGCUGAUUCAAUGUAUUUUAUAGUUAUACGAUUGUUCAGAAUUUCUAUUAACAUUUCUUGUAACAUUUAAGUAAGCUAUAUUUUUUCAAGAAUUUAUUUCAUAUAAUUUUCAAAUGUAAAAAAAUUUUCGCCAUAUCACUUUAUAUCUUUAUAGUAUCUACAUAAUAUGUAAUGAUGUACCCUUUUUAAUUUAUAACAUUUGUUAUGUAUGAUUUUUUCUUUUAUUCUUUAUUAACCUUUCUAAAGAACUUCUUUUAAGUUUUUAAUUCUUUGCGUUAGCAUGUUUGUUUUCUAUUUCAUUAAUUCAUGCUCUGAUUCUUAUUCUUUUUCCCUUCUAUUUUUAUUCUGUUAUUUUUGCUAUUUUUUUCUAACUUCUUGAGAUGGGUGGCCUAUUUCCGUUGUAUGUUGUUUCUGUUAAAUUUUCACUCUUUUGUUUCUUGUACACCCUGGUUAUUUUUUUAUUAAAGAAUGGUAGAUUGUAUGUAAUAACUAUUUUUAGGAAUAGUUUUGUACCUAUAAUGGUGCUAUCUUCCUCUACAAAAGAGCUUUGCUUGUUCCUCUUGUCAAGGACUACCUUAAUCCAAGUUAAAGGCUUUAGAUACCUUAACCUCCAGAUGAUGGGAAGUUGAUGCCAGAGCUGAUUUAUUUCUGGUUUAUUCCACCCUGAAGAUCUAGUGAGGAGUGCUUUAACCAGAGUUCCUGAUAAGUUAUGAUAAGCUCUUGGCUCUGACUUUUGUCCCCUUCUCCUGACUCCACGAGGCAACUAGUUCAGGUUGUCUUUAUAACUGUUUAUCCAGGUAUAUUAUCUCAAGGCAAACAUGGCUUAGAGUGAUUUGUCUUAACUCUCUGGGUUGUCUUUGUCUCCCAACAAUUCUUCAGUAUUUUUCAAGUUCUUUGAUGUUUCUAAGAUAUUAUUUUUUAAAAAUUAUGUUUCAGGGAAAG